ACUUAAAUUAGUCCGUGCUUUCCAGAUGCGAGAGCAUAUAUGCUCGUCGCUAGUGUUAUUGGAAUAAUAGUAGCAGCUCCCAUCCAUCCUCUUUAUUAAUGUCAAUAGCUAGUAACAUCAAGAAGAAUAAACAUUGCAACAACAACUACUAUACAAAUACUGUACAACAACAGCAAAAUAACAAAAUCAAAUGUUAAGCGACGCUACUGGAGAAAAUAUCGCUUAUCGCUCCUGAUCUGCUUAAGUGAUGAGCCGCCCUCACCAGUUUGAAACUGUGCUGUGAGCUUAAACGUUGUUGUGUGCGCUGUUGCGUUUGACUUUCGGAAAAAUCAUAAAAUAAUACGUUAAUCAAGUGUUUUAAUUAAAUUUCGUAUUAACAUUAAAAAAAAAAAUAAAAUUAUUUAUAUAAAAUGCAGCCGAAAUUUUUGUUUUGUUUUCUUUUAUUCUGGAAUUCUGUAAUUUUUUGCUGCUUUGCCUUAAAUCAGUAUCAAAGCUAUGAAGAGGGGAUUUCAAGUACGGAUCGAAAUAUUUAUACGAAUUCAUUGCUGUGUAUGGACAUAAAGCCUCAACACUCUGUGGAUAUUGAACAAAUCACUGGAUUAUGGUAUGGUAACGAGAUCAUUAUUCAUACGCAGGAUAUUCCAGGUGUAUACCAGUAUGAUAGUUGCGUAAUAAUUCAUUUGAAUGACAUAACAGAACAAAUGCGAAAUUACUAUAAUAAUCACCAAUACACCAGUCAACGGCGAACACAAACCAACCAGCCACCUUCCCAACAUCAUCAACAACAACAGCAACAACAACAACCUCAGAGCCAGCGACCAUACAAUGACCAUACAGCAACACGAUACUUACGACUGAUAUGGAGUGAAAGUGAUAAUAAUCUGGAAUACAUGUUUAAUUAUACGGAAAGAAGUCCCGGCCUAUGGACAAAUGUAGGCGAGCAGCGCGGGUCAUUAGAGGCGCUAAAUUCAUAUAAACAAUUCAAAGGCACCGUACAGGUGGUAAAGGCGGUUAACGAUCAUUUGGUGCUGACAUUUUGCGGUAAUGAAAUGAGCGGCUCCAUUUACACACUCGUGCUGAGCAGAACGGAAAAAGGGCUGAGUUUAGAGGAAUUGCGUAGCAUCCGAGGUUUACUAUCCAGACGUGGCUUAUAUACGGAAACGAUUCGAAAGGUGUGCAGCUCAGCGGCUACAAGUUUGGGAGUUAUGAGUAGCUAUUCGUUGGCGCUGAUGGGAUUUUUCGCCAUUGCUAAAACUUAUUUUUGAAAACGAAUUAUUAAUUUAAGAUUUGAUGUUAGUUCAAGUUUGAAAUUUAUACUAAUUUUAUGUGCCUAAUUUUAUGCUUUAAUUUUGUAGUGUUUGUGCAACAUACUGAUUGGAAAAUAGCCAGCGGAAAAAAUUCAUUAAAUUUUGUGUACAAGAAUAAUACAUACAUACGAACGAUACACAGGAAAAUCAACUUUUAGAAGUUUUCUUGCUGUCAGCCCCCAGAACUAUAGAAAAUAGAAAACAAGGAGAGCGGAUAUUAUUAUUUUGCAAUCAGUUAAUAUUUCAGCUUUGAAAUGUUCUAUAUAUUUCAUAUUGGAUAAAUUAAUUUUUUUAUAAAAUUGCCAUAAAAUCGCUAAAAAUAUAUAUUCGAAAAAAAUUAAUUAAAAAUUAAUAUAUCGAAUGAAAAUAUUUCCCUUUAGAAGUAUUCCAUUAAUAGAAUAGAUAGAAAUUUACCUUUAAAAUGUUACUGAACUGUUAAUUCGAAAUGAGCGUAAUGUGCAUACAAACACAUAAAAUAGCUAAAUUCUGUAAAUACAUAAGAUUAUCGGUUAUGAAAAAGUACUUAGCAACAAUUUUGAAUUUAAAUAUGCAUCCGAAUUUUAUUUCUGAAGUGAAACAUUUUUUUUUGCAGCAAAAAACAUUUAUUUUUAGCUAUUUUAUAGCAGUUCUACGAAAAAAAUGUAUGUUCUUAGUAUAAAAUACAUACAUAUAUGGAAGGCUUCAAAACCCGACGGCACGGUUAAAUGUCAAACGAUUUCAAAAUAAAAAAUACUGGUCUACUUAUUUUCGAUAUUAAUUAGUUCGGGAGCUGACAUUAUUAUUUUUUUAUCAUCCUAAUGUGCAUAUGUUCAGUUUUGUACAUAUAUUAGUAUAGAUAGUAUAUGUAUAUAUGUUAAACAAUAACAACAAUAUUUUUUUUUGAAAUUGCGUCCAAUUAAAUUCAAUUCAAUUAAAUUAGUCCAACUCCAGUGUCAGAGUGAGAAACUAUGCGAAAGCUAUAUAGUAUAUACAUACAUAUGUUUGAGCCCAGAGAUAUUGCACACACACGAAAUACUUCCAUAUUUACGAGUAGGCGUAUAAUGCGUCUAAUUAAAUUAUUUGUGCAGCUAAUUAAGUUAAAUUACAAAAAACCAAAAAAAAAAUGUCUCGCAGAAAUUUCGUCUAAGAUUAGAUAAACGUUUCCAGCCUAUUAAGGAAAAUAAAAUAUACUGUUUCCUCUUACGUAACAGAUGCUGUCACACAGUAAAGUUUGAAUGAAACUUAAUUGUGAUUCUAGACUGUGUGACGUCUAACGGUUGCGAAAUGGAGGAAAAACAUACAUACAUAUA